AAAUACCAUCAUGGUAUAUUUUACCAUCACAAUCUUCCUCCAUCUCUAUAUCUCUCACAUUGUUCACUUGUGUUUGGCAAGAAUGGAGCCGGCCAAAAUGUGUAUGCAUGGCAAUUUCGGCCAGCCAUGCCUCUCCAUUUUUCUUCCUCUACAAGACUUGCCUCCCACCUAACCCAAUCACUAAAUGGGCAGCCACCCACCUUAGCCAAUCAAAAAAAGGAGGCAGCCACCAUCCUCCCUCUAUUUAAAGAGCUUGGCCGGCCACUCCCUCCUCCUUUGCCUCAUUUCUUUUCACUUCCCACUCCUUUCUUCACUCCCACACACUCUCCUCCUCCCCUCCCCACGAAAUAUUGCUCCCCCAAGGCUUCAUGGCCGGCCAUGGCCAUGGAAAGAGCUCCAAGAUGAAGUCCCCUCCUCCCUCAAGCUCCUCCUCACCAUGAGAGCCUCCCUCUCCUUCUUCUCCCCAACCCUAGAUGGUUUUCUCUCCUCUUCUUCUUCCUCCCUUGCUAAGAUUGGAUCUUGAUGCAGGUGCAUGUUGGUCCAAGCAUGGAGAAGCUUGAGCUAUCCUCAGAUCUGAAGUUCUUGAGCAAAAUCCAAAUCGAGUGGUUCAAAGUUCUGCAGAUAGGUAUUGAAAAUAUCUACAACUUGGCGUUGGUCUCAUCCUCAAAUUCGUUACGGAUUUUGCAUGGUAAAUAAAGUUCUGCAAACAUGCAGAAUCACUGUUUGUUAGAUUUCUCCCGUUUUACCAAACCUUUUUGAGCAAACUAAACUGUGGGUGAAAGCCCUCUCCAAUACCUUCAUUUUGGCGGUGGUUUCACUUCGAUUGACCUCUUAAACUGAAAUGGCUCACAGAUCAAUAUCUGGUCAGAUCUGACAUUGUCGAAUUAAACCAGGAGCUUGGAGAAGAAUUUUUGAAUGAAACCAACUGGGGGAUACUUAGUUGUGCCAUGGUGAUACCUAGAGAGGCAAUUGCUAAGUCGUGGCACUCUCAUACCUUUACUAGAUGCGAACAAUUUCGGAGGAGAAGAAGAAGAAGUGGAAUCAGACAAGGAUUUUAUUUGUACUGUGGGAAUUCUUAUUUGAUGGAGUUGAAGAAGUCCAGGGACAAAUAAGCCAAGGCAAG